AACGAACGCUGGCGGCAUGCCUAACACAUGCAAGUCGAACGAAACCUUCGGGUCUAGUGUCGCACGGGUGCGUAACGCGUGGGAAUCUACCCUCAGGUUCGGACUACCUCAGAGAAAUUUGAGCUAAUACCGGAUGAUGACGUAAGUCCAAAGAUUUAUCGCCUGAGGAUGAGCCCGCGUAGGAUUAGGUAGUUGGUUAGGUAAAGGCUCACCAAGCCGACGAUCCUUAGCUGGUCUGAGAGGAUGAUCAGCCACACUGGGACUGAGACACGGCCCAGACUCCUACGGGAGGCAGCAGUGGGGAAUAUUGGACAAUGGGCGAAAGCAUGAUGCAGCAAUGCCGGGUGAGUGAUGAAGGCCUUAGGGUUGUAAAGCUCUUUUAACCGGGAUGAUAAUGACAGUACCGGGAGAAUAAGCGCCGGCUAACUCCGUG
rnacentral:rRNA from 1 species